rnacentral:rRNA from 1 species
UCGGACCGCGACCCCAGGUCAGGCGGGACUACCCGCUGAGUUUA